rnacentral:rRNA from 1 species
AGUAAUGCAUAGGUAACGUGCCCCUUAGUCUGGGAUAGCCACUGGAAACGGUGAUUAAUACUAGAUACGCCUUCUCUCUUAAUGAGAGUCGGGAAAGUUUUUCGCUAAGGGAUCGGCCUAUGCUGUAUCAGGUAGUUGGUGAGGUAAUGGCUCACCAAGCCUAUGACACAUAGCGGGUCUGAGAGGAUGACCCGCCACACUGGUACUGAGACACGGACCAG